rnacentral:sRNA from 1 species
CUGGAACGCAUUCUGGCGGCCCGCAA